rnacentral:rRNA from 1 species
AUGCAGUCGAGCGGUAAGGCCCUUCGGGGUACACGAGCGGCGAACGGGUGAGUAACACGUGGGUGACCUGCCUCGCACUUCGGGAUAAGCCUGGGAAACUGGGUCUAAUACCGGAUAUGACCACGGAAUGCAUGUUCUGUGGUGGAAAGAUUUAUCGGUGCGAGAUGGGCCCGCGGCCUAUCAGCUUGUUGGUGGGGUAACGGCCUACCAAGGCGACGACGGGUAGCCGACCUGAGAGGGUGACCGGCCACACUGGGACUGAGACACGGCCCAGACUCCUACGGGAGGCAGCAGUGGGGAAUAUUGCACAAUGGGCGAAAGCCUGAUGCAGCGACGCCGCGUGGGGGAUGACGGCCUUCGGGUUGUAAACCCCUUUCGACAGGGACGAAGCGCAAGUGACUGUACCUGUAGAAGAAGCACCGGCCAACUACGUGCCAGCAGCCGCGGUAAUACGUAGGGUGCGAGCGUUGUCCGGAAUUACUGGGCGUAAAGAGCUUGUAGGCGGUUUGUCGCGUCAUCUGUGAAAACUUGGGGCUCAACCUUAAGCUUGCAGGCGAUACGGGCAGACUAGAGUACUUCAGGGGAGACUGGAAUUCCUGGUGUAGCGGUGAAAUGCGCAGAUAUCAGGAGGAACACCGGUGGCGAAGGCGGGUCUCUGGGAAGUAACUGACGCUGAGAAGCGAAAGCAUGGGUAGCAAACAGGAUUAGAUACCCUGGUAGUCCAUGCCGUAAACGGUGGGUACUAGGUGUGGGUUUCCUUCCACGGGAUCCGUGCCGUAGCUAACGCAUUAAGUACCCCGCCUGGGGAGUACGGCCGCAAGGCUAAAACUCAAAGAAAUUGACGGGGGCCCGCACAAGCGGCGGAGCAUGUGGAUUAAUUCGAUGCAACGCGAAGAACCUUACCUGGGUUUGACAUACACCGGAAACCUGCAGAGAUGUAAG